rnacentral:rRNA from 1 species
AUUGAACGCUGGCGGCAUGCCUUACACAUGCAAGUCGAACGGCAGCACGGGAGCAAUCCUGGUGGCGAGUGGCGAACGGGUGAGUAGUACAUCGGAACGUGCCUAGUAGUGGGGGAUAGCCCGGCGAAAGCCGGAUUAAUACCGCAUACGACCUGAGGGUGAAAGCGGGGGAUCGCAAGACCUCGCGCUAUCAGAGCGGCCGAUGCCAGAUUAGGUAGUUGGUGGGGUAAAAGCCUACCAAGCCGACGAUGUGUAGCUGGUCCUGAGAGGACGACCAGCCACACUGGGACUGAGACACGGCCCAGACUCCUACGGGAGGCAGCAGUGGGGAAUUUUGGACAAUGGGCGCAAGCCUGAUCCAGCCAUGCCGCGUGCAGGAAGAAGGCCUUCGGGUUGUAAACUGCUUUUGUCAGGGAAGAAAAGUUCUGGGCUAAUACCCCGGAGCGAUGACGGUACCUGAAGAAUAAGCACCGGCUAACUACGUGCCAGCCGCCGCCGUAA